UACGUAGGUGGCAAGCGUUGUCCGGAUUUAUUGGGUUUAAAGGGUGCGUAGGCGGCUUUGUAAGUCAGUGGUGAAAUACGGUAGCUCAACUAUCGAGGUGCCAUUGAUACUGCGGAGCUUGAGUUCAGAUGAGGUAGGCGGAAUUGACGGUGUAGCGGUGAAAUGCUUAGAUAUCGUCAAGAACACCUAUAGCGAAGGCAGCUUACUAGGCUGUAACUGACGCUGAGGUACGAAAGUGUGGGGAUCAAACAGG
rnacentral:rRNA from 1 species